rnacentral:rRNA from 1 species
AUUGAACGCUGGCGGCAGGCCUAACACAUGCAAGUCGUGCGAGCGGCGGACGGGUGAGUAAUGUAUGGGGACUGCCCGAUAGAGGGGGAUAACUACUGUAAACGGUGGCUAAUACCGCAUACUAUCGGAUAACCCAUAUGGGAUUAGCUAGUAGGUGGGGUAAAUGCUCACCUAGGCGACUAUCCAGAGCUGGUCUGAGAGGAUGAUAAGCCACAGGGGGACUGAGACACGGCCCAGAAUCCUACGGAGGGAGCAGUGGAGAAGAUUGCACAAUGGGCACAAGCCUGAUGCGGACAUGCCGCGUGUAUGAAGAAGGCCUUAGGGUUGUAAAGUACUUUCAGCGGGGAGGCGUUACCCGCAGAAGAAGCACCGGCUAACUCCGUGCCAGCAGCCGCGGUAAUUC